GGAAUUUGGCUCAGUGGUAGAGCACUUGCCUAGCAAGCGCAAGGCCCUGGGUUCGAUCCCCAGCUCCG
rnacentral:tRNA from 1 species